rnacentral:rRNA from 1 species
AUUGAACGCUGGCGGCAGGCCUAACACAUGCAAGUCGAACGGUAGCACAGAGAGCUUGCUCUCGGGUGACGAGUGGCGGACGGGUGAGUAACGUCUGGGAAACUGCCCGAUGGAGGGGGAUAACUACUGGAAACGGUAGCUAAUACCGCAUAACGUCGCAAGACCAAAGCGGGGGACCUUCGGGCCUCACACCAUCGGAUGUGCCCAGAUGGGAUUAGCUAGUAGGUGGGGUAAUGGCUCACCUAGGCGACGAUCCCUAGCUGGUCUGAGAGGAUGACCAGCCACACUGGAACUGAGACACGGUCCAGACUCCUACGGGAGGCAGCAGUGGGGAAUAUUGCACAAUGGCGCAAGCCUGAUGCAGCCAUGCCGCGUGUAUGAAGAAGGCCUUCGGGUUGUAAAGUACUUUCAGCGGGGAGGAAGGCGGUGAAGUUAAUAACUUCACCGAUUGACGUUACCCGCAGAAGAAGCACCGGCUAACUCCGUGCCAGCCGCCGCCGUAA